UACGUAGGGUGCAAGCGUUUGUCCGGAAUUAUUGGGCGUAAAGAGCUCGUAGGCGGUCUGUCGCGUCUGCUGUGAAAACUCAGGGCUUAACCCUGAGCUUGCAGUGGGUACGGGCAGACUAGAGUGCGGUAGGGGAGACUGGAAUUCCUGGUGUAGCGGUGAAAUGCGCAGAUAUCAGGAGGAACACCGGUGGCGAAGGCGGGUCUCUGGGCCGAUACUGACGCUGGAGGAGCGAAAGCGUGGGGAGCGAACAGG
rnacentral:rRNA from 1 species